rnacentral:lncRNA from 1 species
AGUGGCCUGCUCAGUGAGCUUCCAAGUAGACGAUGGGAUUCCCACAAGGCAGAAACAUAGUGAUGCGAAUGAGGCAGCAUCUAGAAGGCUUGUCUGUGGCUGGGGUUCACUGGCAGAGCUCAGGCCCUCGGAGAGGAGCGGGCAAGAAUGACAAAAUUACUCUUCCAGACCCAUGACCCAGGCACAGAGUAUAGAUCACCUGCUAAUAUUUGCCUUCUCACCAUGGAAGGAAGCCACUACUGCCUGGUUUCACCUGAGGGCUUACCGGUGUCCAAAGGACCAAUUCCAAAGGCUUGGAAGAUGCCCCCACUCCAUCCCAGGCCCCAAGCUAGCUACUUCUUCAGAGCAUGUUUCAUUCCUUCCAUGAGAAUUCAGGUUGCCAUUUGGAACCCGAGGAGGAGGGUGGAGGGUGGGGAGAUGCUGGCGUGCAUGACCACUGGUGACAAGUCAUGGAGGUGAUGGUGGCAGUGACAGUGCUGGGGGCUAUCAGUGGAAGAAGAAGAGGGGAAAGUGGCCUUUAUGUUUCUUGAGAGAGAGUCAAUAUAUUCUGAGCAGCACCUACUCCACCCUCUCUACGUGUUUAGCUUCUCUCUAUGGUUCCGAACAAAUGGUCAAGUCAUGCAAGUGCCGCCAUCACUGUUUUGACAUAUUCAAGUCUUCCCUGAACUAUUGUUUGCUCCUUUCAAUCACUCACCUUUCAAAUUCAAGGAAUAUUAUUUUAAGAUUUUUAUUUAUCACUAUUAAUGGGAAAUUGAUUUUUUUAAUUUUUAUUUAUUUAUGAUAGUCACAGAGAGAGAGAGAGAGAGGCAGAGACACAGGCAGAGGGAGAAGCAGGCUCCAUGCACCGGGAGCCUGACGUGGGAUUCGAUCCCAGGUCUUCAGGAUCAUACCCUGGGCCAAAGGCAGGCGCCAAACCACUGCGCCACCCAGGGAUCCCAGGAAAUUGAUUUUUAAAAGGAAACCCAACUGUUCAUUUUUACAAAUGAAAAGAAUAUAUCAUUUGUCGUAAAUUAAAAAUGUUAGCAGAAUUGAAAACUGCAA